UGGGGAAUUUUGGACAAUGGGCGAAAGCCUGAUCCAGCAAUGCCGCGUGUGUGAAGAAGGCCUUCGGGUUGUAAAGCACUUUUGUCCGGAAAGAAAUCCUUGGCUCUAAUACAGUCGGGGGAUGACGGUACCGGAAGAAUAAGCACCGGCUAACUACGUGCCAGCAGCCGCGGUAAUACGUAGGGUGCAAGCGUUAAUCGGAAUUACUGGGCGUAAAGCGUGCGCAGGCGGUUUGCUAAGACCGAUGUGAAAUCCCCGGGCUCAACCUGGGAACUGCAUUGGUGACUGGCAGGCUAGAGUAUGGCAGAGGGGGGUAGAAUUCCACGUGUAGCAGUGAAAUGCGUAGAGAUGUGGAGGAAUACCGAUGGCGAAGGCAGCCCCCUGGCAAGUACUGACGCUCAUGCACGAAAAGGCGUGGGGAGCAAACAGGAUUAGAUACCCUGGUAGCCCACGCCCUAAAACGAUGUCAACUAGUUGUUGGGGAUUCAUUUCCUUAGUAACGUAGCUAACGCGUGAAGUUGACCGCCUGGGGAGUACGGUCGCAAGACUGAAACUCAAAAUGAAUUGACGGGGUCAUAGCUGUUUCCU
rnacentral:rRNA from 1 species